UGUCGAACCUGCCCAGCAGAACGACCAGUGCACACGUGUUAACAAAUUUCGGCCAUUGGGGUGUUUUUUGAAGCCUUGUGCUUCUACUUCCCCCCGUUCGAGCCGAGGGGGUCCACUUGUGGUUUCCCUUGGCAUCUAAACGAACCCCGACGCGAAGAGCGUCAAGGAAUACAACAUAAUAUGAGCUCCCUCCUACCGCCCGGUCAGCCGGCGCGUGGGUGUGGUGCCAUGUCCCAACAUUAAACGACUCUCGGCAACGGAUAUCUCGGCUCUCGCAUCGAUGAAGAACGUAGCGAAAUGCGAUACUUGGUGUGAAUUGCAGAAUCCCGUGAACCAUCGAGUCUUUGAACGCAAGUUGCGCCCGAGGCCUUUGGCUGAGGGCACGUCUGCCUGGGCGUCACGCAUCGCAACCCCCCAAACCCACUACGGUGGGGGGGGAAGAUGGUUUCCCGUGCCUCACCGGGUGCGGUUGGCCUAAAAUUUGAGCCUAAGGCAUCGAGUUGUCGUGGCGAUAGGUGGUGAGCAAGGCCUUGUCCGUGUAAGCAACCAGUUGCGCAACCCUUUGCCAGUAGGAGCUCGUAGGACCCUUUGGUGUUGCCUUGAUGCAACACAAACG
rnacentral:rRNA from 1 species